GCGAGAUUUAUGGUACUAGUGUAAUACCGUGCACCUUAGCUCAUGAACAAGUACCACAAUUCUGAGUGAUGGUUCGACACAGUCAUCUUUAUGAGAUUAAUAUACUUUGCCAAGGAGUUAAGCAAUUUAGAUACUACAUCGAACAACGCUAUUUCACAGCCGAGACUUCUCAUGGAUCAAGCUACAGGAUGUGUGUGAGAGAUAAUGGAGAUAGAAUUCGUACAAGUGGCAUUGGAUGAGAUUGCUUUUGCUACGACGACGAUAUAAGAAGAGGAGACACGAUAUAUUUUUGCUACAACUGUAGAGAUUUUGUGAUGUAUAUGUCCCUAAUACUUCCAAAUGGUGAACCGAAGGAUAUAAUUAAUGACGUAUUUGACGAAGGAGAAAGACAUGUUGCAUACAGCAAUGAGUUUAAUCUAACACAAAGGCAACGCAACAACAUGCACACUAUAUUACAGACGAAUGAGGACUAUCCUGCGCAGAUCCAUUAUUGCUUUACAGCUACGGACAUGUCUGAUAAU